AUAUUGAUUUGAUGUAGAUUUUUUUUCUGUUCACUCACUUUGCAUUUUGUUAAUUGAUAAAUAUAUUGUGAGGAUAGGGCGGAGGCCCUUUAAGAAAUGGCUGUCUGGUUGAAAACCACAUUCCCCAGAAGCCCUGGGGGUUAAUGAAUUGGGAGGAGUCUGCUGAUAUAUAAGGAAGCCAGCAGAUCACUUAGGGGGCUGUGGGGGAUACACUGACGGAGUUCUACAGGAUUCUAGUUGUUGGAAGGUACUGUUUUUGUGUGUGGAAGUUUUUCUUGCAAAGUCGUUUGGAUUACAAAUGUGUUUCCUGGAAAAUACAGUUCACCACGAUAGCAGGAGCUGUCGUUCUGUUUCAACGCGCUGCAGUGUGUUUCCUGGAGGUACUGUACACCAAGAUAGCAGGGGCUAUCAUAUGGUUUCUACGCACUCCAGUUCACUACUUGGAUUACAGUUUUCCACAAUAGCAGGAACUGUCGUACGGUUCAACGUGCUCCAGCAGAGAGAGCCUGUUCUGGUCUACUUACCCGUGUGGUCAACGUGCUCCAGCCGGGAUAGCCAGUUCCAGCUCACCGUGCUGCAGCAGAGGGAGCCAGCACCGGAACACCCCAACCUGUGCUUGGCACUUCAGCCGGUUGUACACUGAAGGACUCAGGGUCUGCAGCCAAGAGACCUUAUAGACUGUACCCACUUGAACAAGUGAACUCCUGGGGUAGGUUUAGAUAGGGACUAUAAGUGAGAUAGUUAGUAGCCCGUACAGGGCAUGAUACUUUGGGUGGGGGUGAUAUACGUUUGCUUAUGGUUUAAAUUAAAGUAAUUCACCUGUGUA